UACGAAGGGGGCUAGCGUUGCUCGGAAUUAUUGGGCGUAAAGGGCUCGUAGGCGGUUUGUCACGUCGGGAGUGAAAACUCAGGGCUUAACCCUGAGCCUGCUUCCGAUACGGGCAGACUAGAGGUAUGCAGGGGAGAAUGGAAUUCCUGGUGUAGCGGUGAAAUGCGCAGAUAUCAGGAGGAACACCGGUGGCGAAGGCGGUUCUCUGGGCAUUACCUGACGCUGAGGAGCGAAAGUGUGGGGAGCGAACAGG
rnacentral:rRNA from 1 species